UUGAAUGAUAUGAUAUGACUAAUUAAUGUCGUAUAUACCACCAUAUGAGGUAGAUCAGGCUGGAGUUUGUUCUAUUUAUACACACACCUCUAAACUCUAGUCAAGUACAUAUUCAUUUGCUGAAGAUAUAGAAUUGAAAGGAACAUUAAAAAUCUCAAUCCCACAAAAUUGAAAUGGAAAGUGUAGUGGAAACUCUUCACAUGAACAAAGGAGCUGGCGAAACUAGCUAUGCCAUGAACUCCUCUCUCCAGGUAUAUAUAUUAUUGAUUGUAUAAAAUUAGUAUGUAAUUUUUUUAUGCAAGUAGAGGUGCAUUUGUUUUAGUUUUAAAAAAAAAUAAAUUGUUUUUUGUAUUUUUAAAAAUAGUAAAAUUAUUUUAUGUUCAUCUUUUUAUAAAUUAAAAAAGUGAUUUUGAC
rnacentral:lncRNA from 1 species